CAAAAUGGAUAAAAGGAAAUGUAUCUAGACGUAUUUUAGUUUUAGAUACAUCUCUUUUUAUCCAUUUUGAUGACAAGUAUUUUCGGACGGAGGGAGUAGAAA
rfam:Triticum aestivum genome assembly, contig: Triticum_aestivum_CS42_TGACv1_scaffold_233243_3B